UACGAAGGGGGCUAGCGUUGCUCGGAAUCACUGGGCGUAAAGCGCACGUAGGCGGCUUUUUAAGUCAGGGGUGAAAUCCUGGAGCUCAACUCCAGAACUGCCUUUGAUACUGAGAAGCUUGAGUCCGGGAGAGGUGAGUGGAACUGCGAGUGUAGAGGUGAAAUUCGUAGAUAUUCGCAAGAACACCAGUGGCGAAGGCGGCUCACUGGCCCGGUACUGACGCUGAGGAGCGAAAGCGUGGGGAGCGAUCCGG
rnacentral:rRNA from 1 species